UAAACUAGUCACAUCCCCGCUUAUCACACCCUCUCAAUAACCGGGGGCCUGUAGACUCAGUUUUAGGUUGGGGUGACCCUGGAGUAUAAUUAAACCUCCAUGAUGAAUGAGACUACUCUCUUAUCUAAGAAAUACACCUCUAAGAAUUAAUACACUAAUGUAAAAUGAUCCGAUAAUCGAUCAACGGACCAAGUUACCCUGGGGAUAACAGCGCAAUCCAUUUUAAGAGCCCCUAUCGACAAAUGGGUUU
rnacentral:rRNA from 1 species